AUGAGGCCCAGGACAGGACAGGUGGGCCGUGAGGCCCGCAGAGGGCAGAGCCCCGGCCUCAGGCAGUGCUGGCCGCUGAUGCUGCUGGGCCUGGCUGCGGCCGCCCACGGCCUGCUGCUCUCCACGUCAGCGCCGCAGAGCAGGGCUCCGAGCUCUGAGGCCCCAACAAGAAGCAGCAGCCCUAGCCUGUGGGAAAGGUUCCUGUUCGGUACUGGCCUCCGGGGGCAAGGCCCCAGGUGCUGGCCUGGCGGGUUUUGGUCCGAUUCCCAGUCACCAUGGUACAUCUUCAGCAAGGGGACCGAGCUCAUCGUCCUAGGUCAGCCCAAGGCUGCACCCUCGGUCACUCUGUUCCUGCCCUCCCCUGAGGAGCUCAGCACCAACAAGGCCACGCUGGUGUGUCUCAUCAGUAACUUCUACCCUGGCAAUGUGACAGUGGCCUGGAAGGUAAAUGGCAGCCCCGUCACCCAGGGCGUGGAGACCACCAAGCCCUCCAAACAGAGCAACAACAAGUACGCGGCCAGCAGCUACCUGAGCGUGUCGCCCAGCACGUGGAAGUCAGCCAGCAGCUACAGCUGCCACGUCACGCACGAAGGCAGCACCGUGGAGAAGUCAGUGGUCCCCUCCGAGUGUUCCUAG